rnacentral:rRNA from 1 species
UACAGGGGGUGCAAACGUUGCUCGGAAUCAUUGGGCGUAAAGCGCGCGUAGGCGGUUGCUUAAGUCGGAUGUGAAAGCCCUCGGCUCAACUGAGGAAGAGCAUCCGAAACUGAGCAGCUUGAGUACGAAAGAGGGUCGCGGAAUUCCCGGUGUAGAGGUGAAAUUCGUAGAUAUCGGGAGGAACACCGGUGGCGAAGGCGGCGACCUGGGUCGAGACUGACGCUGAGGCGCGAAAGCGUGGGGAGCAAACAGG